rnacentral:rRNA from 1 species
AUGCGGCGAGAGAAGGGCCGAGGUACACCCCCGACAGCACGCUGUGGGAGCCGUACUUCCGUCGCCGCCACGCCGAGCAGCUCGAGGCCACCAACGGCGUCGUGCCCUCCGGGAGGCUCAAUGCCGACGGGCGUCGUCGAUGGUGGGGCGUGCCCGGCCGCACGCUGGAGACCUUCCUCGAGUAGAUUGAGGGCGGCAACACGCCGAGGCUGGAGUACCCCGCUCCCCCCACCUUCUCCCGCCGGCGUGGGAGCUCGUGGACGCCGAGAGGCAUGGACCCGGCAUCCUCCUCCUCGUCCAGCCGCUCGUCCGGCUCUCCCUCCCUCCUCCCCAUCAAGCCGGAGCCCCAGGACGCGCCGAUCAGCCGGCGCACCCGCAGCUCGGCGUCCGCAUCGCCGAGUCCUCCCCCACCUCUGCCCGGCUCGUCUGGCCGAAGGUGGAGUCCGGCCUCCCCGCGGAUUACGAGGCCAUAGCCUGGCGCGGCUUCUCCGACGAGGCCGCCCUAAAGUGGGCGCGGGACGACUACCUCCGCGACGAGAUGGUCCGGCAACGCCGAGGCCUGCAGGAGAUAGCCGCCCGCCAGCGUGGGCGCGAGGACGAGAACGGCGUGGUGAUCCUCGACAGCGACGAGGACGAGGACGCCCCCGGACCGUCCAACCCGCCGUGCGUCGGCGACCCUGGGCAGGGGUAUAG